ACAUGGAAGGCUGAAAAGGAAGAGGAACUUCCAAAUAAGGAGAAGAGGUGCUGCAGAGAAGUGGAUCCAGAUUCAGUUUCUCUGCAGGGAUCCCCCCCACACACUGUCCCCAUCACACUGGCAAAACCUUGGCUCCUGCCUCCUUAUCUGCAAUGAUCUCAGCAGAAAAGAGCUCCCACUGAAGAGAAAACUGAGGCUUGGAUAUCAUAAGUGAUCUGCCCAAGGUCACACAACCGGUGAGGGGACAGAGGCAGGAAUCCAGAUCUGUGUGGCUUCGGAGCCUGAAGUCUUCUGGUUCAUCACAUGGGAAACUGUGAACCAGUGUUUUACUGCACAAACAUCAGUCAAGAGUCACAGAUCAAAAGCUCUGUGAGGGCAAGGUGUCUGCUUGCCAUUUCACCAUUCAUUCACUCAGUGAAUAUUUGCUGACUACUUACCUUGUACCUGGUGGUGGGUGCCACGGGCCCCAGCUGUGAAUGGAUGGACAAGGUCCCUGACUUCACAGAACUCACAGUCCAGGGGGGCAACAAGUUACAUGUGUGUAAAUAAACAACAUAUUUUCAGAGCAA